GAUGAACGCUGGCGGCGUGCUUAAUACAUGCAAGUCGAGCGAAUGGAUUAAGAGCUUGCUCUUAUGAAGUUAGCGGCGGACGGGUGAGUAACACGUGGGUAACCUGCCCAUAAGACUGGGAUAACUCCGGGAAACCGGGGCUAAUACCGGAUAACAUUUUGAACCGCAUGGUUCGAAAUUGAAAGGCGGCUUCGGCUGUCACUUAUGGAUGGACCCGCGUCGCAUUAGCUAGUUGGUGAGGUAACGGCUCACCAAGGCAACGAUGCGUAGCCGACCUGAGAGGGUGAUCGGCCACACUGGGACUGAGACACGGCCCAGACUCCUACGGGAGGCAGCAGUAGGGAAUCUUCCGCAAUGGACGAAAGUCUGACGGAGCAACGCCGCGUGAGUGAUGAAGGCUUUCGGGUCGUAAAGCUCUGUUGUUAGGGAAGAACAAGUGCUAGUUGAAUAAGCUGGCACCUUGACGGUACCUAACCAGAAAGCCACGGCUAACUACGUGCCAGCCGCCGCCGUAA
rnacentral:rRNA from 1 species